AGCGGCGGACGGGUGAGAUAAUGCCUAGGAAUCUGCCCGAUAGUGGGGGACAACGUUUCGAAAGGAACGCUAAUACCGCAUACGAUCCUACGGGAGAAAGCAGGGGACCUUCGGGCCUUGCGCUAUCGGAUGAGCCUAGGUCGGAUUAGCUAGUUGGUGGGGUAAAGGCUCACCAAGGCGACGAUCCGUAACUGGUCUGAGAGGAUGAUCAGUCACACUGGAACUGAGACACGGUCCAGACACCUACGGGAGGCAGCAGUGGGGAAUAUUGGACAAUGGGCGAAAGCCUGAUCCAGCCAUGCCGCGUGUGUGAAGAAGGUCUUCGGAUUGUAAAGCACUUUAAGCUGGGAGGAAGGGCAGUAAGCUAAUACCUUGCUGUUUUGACGUUACCAGCAGAAUAAGCACCGGCUAACUUCGUGCCAGCAGCCGCGGUAAUACGAAGGGUGCAAGCGUUAAUCGGAAUUACUGGGCGUAAAGCGCGCGUAGGUGGUUCAGCAAGUUGGAUGUGAAAGCCCCGGGCUCAACCUGGGAACUGCAUCCAAAACUACUGGGCUAGAGUAUGGUAGAGGGUGGUGGAAUUUCCUGUGUAGCGGUGAAAUGCGUAGAUAUCUGGGGGAACAUCAGUGGCGAAGGCGGCUUCCUGGACCAACACUGACGCUGAGGCGCGAAAGCGUGGGGAGCAAACAGGAUUAGAUACCCUGGUAGUCCACGCCGUAAACGAUGUCAACUAGUUGUUUGGGUUCCUUGAGGACUUAGUAAACGAAGCUUAAACGCGAUAAGUUGACCGCCUGGGGGAG
rnacentral:rRNA from 1 species